AUCAAACCAAGCUCAACGCAGAUUUAACUGACCAGCUAGGCUACCACACAUGCUGAAAACAUGAUGCAAACUGUUGAGACGAAGUAGAUGACUUCAGUAAGGCAAGGCAAAAGCUGAAGGACUACAACAGAAAUGGAACAGCAGUCCUCCAGUCAGAGGAUGAGAGCUCAAUGGCAAAAAGGAGAAGAAAAGCGACACAUUACCCAGGAUUUGAAAACGGCAGUACUGACUCUGAAACUGAGCAGACUCCAAAAAGAAGACCAGAGUCUCGGCCUUGGCCUCAACCUCUCGCUAUUAGCGCUACACUUCCUAGUCUCCC